rnacentral:rRNA from 1 species
UUCGACUGUUUACCAAAAACAUAGCUUUAAGAAUACAUUAUACAUAGUGACGCCUGCUCAAUGAUUGCGUAAUACAGAAAAACAACAAUUUAAUAGCUGCGGUAACACCUAACCGCACAAAGGUAGCACAAUAAAUAGCCUACUAACUACAGGAUCGCAUGAAGGCAUAACGAAACUUUAACUGUCUCAAGAUUACUAACCCAAAUUAGACUGUGUGUGCAAAUUCACACUAAAACAGCAAGACGAUAAGACCCUAUGAACUUUACCAAAACUCCAAAACUUUACUUAUACAUUAUAAUAAAAUAAGACAUAUAUCUUGGAAUUUAAGUUUCGUUGGGGCAACGAUCUCAAAAUAAAUAAAUAAGAUUAUACACAAUCAAACAUUACAAAAUAGACAUAUAAGUUAAACAUCAUAAAGAUAAGACCCAUUAAUUAAAAUAACUUAAUGAACAUAAAAUAAAAGCUCCUUAGGGAUAACAGCGUAAUAUUGUAUAUAAAGAUUCUUCUCAAACAAUGUUUGCGACCUCGAUGUUGAAUUA